rnacentral:sRNA from 1 species
GCAGCUCAAGAGAUGUUGAUUGAAAAAGC